rnacentral:tRNA from 1 species
ACGCAGGAAGCUGCCACCUAAGGGGUAAGCACUGUGCAAAAAUGAGCCGCGACUAAGUCAGCCACAGCAAUAAAACAGUGGUCUUACGCAGGUUCGAAUCCUGCCCUGCGGA